rnacentral:tRNA from 1 species
GCCUGGCUGGUUCAGUUGGUAGAGCGUGUGCCUCUUGAUCUCAGGGUCAUGAGUGUAAGCCCCAUGUUGGGCA